rnacentral:miRNA from 8 species
GAGGGCGUCAUAACUGUUGACC